rnacentral:rRNA from 1 species
UACGGAGGGGGCUAGCGUUGUUCGGAAUUACUGGGCGUAAAGCGCACGUAGGCGGCUUUGCAAGUUAGAGGUGAAAGCCCGGAGCUCAACUCCGGAAUUGCCUUUAAAACUGCAUCGCUAGAAUUGUGGAGAGGUAAGUGGAAUUCCGAGUGUAGAGGUGAAAUUCGUAGAUAUUCGGAAAGAACACCAGUGGCGAAGGCGACUUACUGGACACAUAUUGACGCUGAGGUGCGAAAGCGUGGGAGCA